rnacentral:rRNA from 1 species
GAUGAACGCUGGCUACAGGCUUAACACAUGCAAGUCGAGGGGAAACGCCGGGGAAGCUUGCUUCCCCGGGCGUCGACCGGCGCACGGGUGAGUAACGCGUAUCCAACCUGCCUCUGACUGAGGGAUAACCCGUCGAAAGUCGGCCUAAUACCUCAUGGUAUCGUCUGCGGGCAUCCAACGACGAUUAAAGAUUUCAUCGGUCAGGGAUGGGGAUGCGUCUGAUUAGCUUGUUGGCGGGGUAACGGCCCACCAAGGCUACGAUCAGUAGGGGUUCUGAGAGGAAGGUCCCCCACAUUGGAACUGAGACACGGUCCAAACUCCUACGGGAGGCAGCAGUGAGGAAUAUUGGUCAAUGGGCGAGAGCCUGAACCAGCCAAGUAGCGUGCAGGAAGACGGCCCUAUGGGUUGUAAACUGCUUUUAUGCGGGGAUAAAGUGAGGGACGUGUCCCUCAUUGCAGGUACCGCAUGAAUAAGAACCGGCUAAUUCCGUG